UACGUAGGUGGCAAGCGUUGUCCGGAAUUAUUGGGCGUAAAGCGCGCGCAGGCGGUCCUUUAAGUCUGAUGUGAAAGCCCACGGCUCAACCGUGGAGGGUCAUUGGAAACUGGAGGACUUGAGUGCAGAAGAGGAAAGUGGAAUUCCACGUGUAGCGGUGAAAUGCGUAGAGAUGUGGAGGAACACCAGUGGCGAAGGCGACUUUCUGGUCUGUAACUGACGCUGAGGCGCGAAAGCGUGGGGAGCAAACAGG
rnacentral:rRNA from 2 species